AACACCAACUCUCUAUCUCUCUCUCUCUCCCUGCCUCCAUUUCUCUGAAAUUUCACAAUCUUCAUCUCUAAAAUUCCCUUUCCCCCACAACAUCUUCUUAUCUUCUACUUCCAAGUUGUAAACCCUUAAUUUCACCCAUUAUUUAUACAGUCCAAAAUAGCAAACCCUGACUAUUCACACAUGGUUGAAGCGAAGACAAAGAAGAAAUCUUAAAGCUCUGUACCACAAAUUUUGAGGAGAAGAUUAUAAAGCUUGGACCACAACACUAUCAAGCAAAAUAUUGAAGUAUUCCGCCACCUUUAAUCUUGGAUUUUAAAAGUUUUGGUCUCCACACAAAGGUACUUUCUCUUUUUUGUUUAAUCAUACUUGUGAAAGAAAAUGAUAGAUUGUUUGAUCGUGGAUGGUCUACAUGUGCUGGUUUUUUUUCUUUGUCUAAUUUAUUCAUGUUUGAGUAUCAGAUAUUAAUAGUAUGGAUGAACAGUAAAGUUAUCUUUAGGGGUUAGAUUUUAUGAAGGAGUUUGUAAUGUCUAUAAUUACAUAUAUUAAAGAAGGUACAAAUACCAAACUAUUUUAGCAUAUGCUCAGCACUAAAUUAAUACAAAUGCUCACCACCGGAGCAAUCCAUUUGUUGUGCUUUUGUGCUUGGUCUCUGACAUUUCAUGUCCAUCAAGAUUAUUCGAUCUAUUGUGCUAUGUGCUUAAUAAAUUGAUAUUCUGUUAACAUUAUUCAGUUAGGAUAAUAAUUUCACUUUUUCUCAAAUUAGGACAUAGGUAAUCAAAUUGGAUCCCAUGUUGCUUGGCCUAAAUAAUUUUUCAUCUUGAAUGAUGUGAGGUACAUAUCUAUAAUUAUUGUUUGUCUUUGAUAUGUCAUAAAUUAAUAAUAAUAAUAUUUUUAUUAUUCUAGUUAUAUAAAGUAAUCCAUUAAGAAUGUGUAUGAAUACAAAGUGCCAACAAGAAUAGAUGUUGUUUGCGAGUAUGCUCGCGAGUGUUGACUAAAGUAUUAUUGAUUGAAAUUUAUCCUGGGAUAUUUGAUAAUGAACAAGCUUAAUUAUAUUUAUCAAUUGACGACAUCGUACAAUUCUAUAGCAUGGAAAAAAUUGGGGUCACAACAAUAACUUCUUACAUGAAGUACUUAAAUUACUUAUUUUCUUAGCAAGCAUAAUUAGUUAUAAUUUUUAUGUGUGCAGUGUUGUAAUUAUAACUUGUUUUCCCUAGGAAUCUUUGCUAGGUCUUGCAGGAUCCUUACUUGGACCAUAUUUAUAAAUUUGGUAAUCCUUCAACCUUUUGUCAUAAAACUAGAGAUAGUGAUGAGACUAGAGCUCGUGUAAUGUAUCAAGAAUGGAAAUACUUGAUGCAGAACAACUUAUGAUAUUUCCUUACAAUACCGGGUUUGUUAUUUUAUUGGUCGUAUAUAGCAUUUGGAGUUUAUUUUCUUUUUCUUUUAUAGAAAAUGCAAGACUAAUAUUUAUCAUUAUAUAUAGAAAAACAUUGGAUGUUGAUUGUUGUGGAUACACACAUAUUCAUAGUAUAUUGAUUCACUUGGUCAUGAACCGCACAUUGAUUUGAAGAAUUUUAUAUCACUGUAAAUUAUUGUCAAUUAUAAUGCAUGUAGUAAAACAUGACUAAAUGUGUAUAUCUAAUUAUAUCUUAAGUGCUUUCAAGAUUUUUGUGGCAAAAAUGAGAAAUACGAAUAAAAAAUCCUUUGUUGGGAAGAGGGUUAAGGUACAUGAAACUAUACAUAUAUAUGUUCAGUUUAAAUUUCUUUACAUAUGCACAUGACAUUAAUUAAUUCAAAAUUAUUGUGCAGUGUCCUUAACAAACUACAGAUGUUGAAUGUGAAUAUUAUGUGAUUAGGUUUAUGAAGGAAAUUAUUGAAAACCAAGAUUCAAUAAAAAAUGAGGUAGUCAUUUCCUUAUCCUUUUAAAGUUUAUAGAUUUCAUAACGUUGAUGCAUGUAUUAAUAUUGACUAUUUUGUGUACGAUAUAUAGUUUGUUGGAUGAGACAUCUACACCCAAAAGGAUAUUGAUGAAGUACGAAUGGAGUGGACAAAGUACAUAUGGUAGAAUAAUUUUCGCUAAAUUUUGUAGCACGACUUUGAGACGUUAGUAAAUGAAUAGUAUUAUUAUUUUUAGGGAAAUUUACAACCGUCCACCUGUUUGUUUUGCCUUUUUCAAAAAUACACAAAUACUUUUUUUUUUCAGCGCGCCACCUGAAGUUUACUUUUUGUUGCAUUCGUCCACUUCCGUCUAAUUUCCGUUAGUGAAUUUAACGGAAUGACCUUUUUACCCUUCAAAAUUACAAUUUAACCCAAAAUAAAUAGAAAUUAGAGAUAAAUUGGAUGGAUUUAAUUUUUUUCAAAGGUGGAUGCUAGAAAUUGGAGGAAAAUAAUGUUUGUUGCUUGCUAAAUUUAAAAAAUUUGUAUUUAUUUUUUUAGAGAAAGAUAGUGUUUAUUACUUGCUAAAUUUAGAAAAUUUGUAUUUAUUUUUUUGUCUUUCAAAAAAAUAAAUACAAAUUUUCUAAAUUUAGCAAGCAACAAACACUAUUUUCCCCCAAUUUCUAGCAUCCACCUUUGAAAAAAAUUAAAUCCAUCCAAUUUAUCUCCAAUUUCCAUUUAUUUUGGGUUAAAUUGUAAUUUUGAGGGGUAAAAAGGUCAUUUCGUUAACAUUCCGUUAAAUCUACUAACGGAAAUUUGACGGAAGUGGAUGAAUGCAACAAAAAACAAACUUUAGGUGGCGCGCUGCAAAAAAAAAAAAGUGUUUGUGUAUUUUUGAAAAAUGCAAAACAAACAGGUGGACGAGUGUAAAUUUCCCUUAUUUUUAUUCAUGUCUUUGUUAUUGUCUUUGUUUCGAAUAAGACAUUAAAAUGAUUUGUGAAAUUAUUUCAAUUAUUUCGAUAUUGUAAUCAAGGAAGGUUCGUCAAAAGGGUCCACUCUCCAACUCUCUCUGGCUUUGGCAUGAUUAUUGAAGUAGUCAAUAGGAUGGCCGCAUUGUGUUGUUCCUCUGAAGAAUGUAAUAUUUUUCUUUUAGGAAAAAAGAGUUAUGGAUAUCUAGUAUUCUAGUUCCUUUAAUUUGGAAAUUGUAAUAUUUUUUUAGUAUUGUUUGUAACGUACUAGAUUUAUAUAUGAUUAAUGCAAUUGCU
rnacentral:lncRNA from 1 species